rnacentral:rRNA from 1 species
UACGUAGGGUGCGAGCGUUAAUCGGAAUUAUUGGGCGUAAAGGGUGCGUAGGCGGUGGGGUAAGUUGGAUGUGAAAUCUUGGGGCUUAACCUCAAAAUUGCAUUCAAUACUGCUCCGCUCGAGUUCUGUAGAGGAGAUUGGAAUUUACGGUGUAGCAGUGAAAUGCGUAGAUAUCGUAAGGAACGCCAGUGGCGAAAGCGAAUCUCUGGGCAGCAACUGACGCUGAGGCACGAAGGCCAGGGGAGCAAACGGG